rnacentral:piRNA from 1 species
UGACCCUAUGGAUGCCUUAGCAGGUAGAGC